rnacentral:rRNA from 1 species
AGAGUUUGAUCCUGGCUCAGAUUGAACGCUGGCGGCAUGCCUUACACAUGCAAGUCGAACGGCAGCACGGGGGCAACCCUGGUGGCGAGUGGCGAACGGGUGAGUAAUACAUCGGAACGUGUCCUGUAGUGGGGGAUAGCCCGGCGAAAGCCGGAUUAAUACCGCAUACGCUCUACGGAGGAAAGGGGGGGAUCUCAGGACCUCCCGCUACAGGGGCGGCCGAUGGCAGAUUAGCUAGUUGGUGGGGUAAAGGCCUACCAAGGCGACGAUCUGUAGCUGGUCUGAGAGGACGACCAGCCACACUGGGACUGAGACACGGCCCAGACUCCUACGGGAGGCAGCAGUGGGGAAUUUUGGACAAUGGGCGAAAGCCUGAUCCAGCAAUGCCGCGUGUGUGAAGAAGGCCUUCGGGUUGUAAAGCACUUUUGUCCGGAAAGAAAACCUCCGCCCUAAUAUGGUGGGGGGAUGACGGUACCGGAAGAAUAAGCACCGGCUAACUACGUGCCAGCAGCCGCGGUAAUACGUAGGGUGCAAGCGUUAAUCGGAAUUACUGGGCGUAAAGCGUGCGCAGGCGGUCCGCUAAGACAGAUGUGAAAUCCCCGGGCUUAACCUGGGAACUGCAUUUGUGACUGGCGGGCUAGAGUAUGGCAGAGGGGGGUAGAAUUCCACGUGUAGCAGUGAAAUGCGUAGAGAUGUGGAGGAAUACCGAUGGCGAAGGCAGCCCCCUGGGCCAAUACUGACGCUCAUGCACGAAAGCGUGGGGAGCAAACAGGAUUAGAUACCCUGGUAGUCCACGCCCUAAACGAUGUCAACUAGUUGUUGGGGAUUCAUUUCCUUAGUAACGUAGCUAACGCGUGAAGUUGACCGCCUGGGGAGUACGGUCGCAAGAUUAAAACUCAAAGGAAUUGACGGGGACCCGCACAAGCGGUGGAUGAUGUGGAUUAAUUCGAUGCAACGCGAAAAACCUUACCUACCCUUGACAUGUAUGGAAUUUCUACGAAAGUAGAAAGUGCUUUUAGAUAACCGU